rnacentral:rRNA from 1 species
AGUGAACGCUGGCGGUAGGCCUAACACAUGCAAGUCGAACGGCAGCACAGUAAGAGCUUGCGCUUACGGGUGGCGAGUGGCGGACGGGUGAGGAAUACAUCGGAAUCUACUUUUUCGUGGGGGAGAACGUAGGGAAACUUACGCUAAUACCGCAUACGACCUACGGGUGAAAGCAGGGGAUCUUCGGACCUUGCGCGAUUGAAUGAGCCGAUGUCGGAUUAGCUAGUUGGUGGGGUAAAGGCCCACCAAGGCGACGAUCCGUAGCUGGUCUGAGAGGAUGAUCAGCCACACUGGAACUGAGACACGGUCCAGACUCCUACGGGAGGCAGCAGUGGGGAAUAUUGGACAAUGGGCGCAAGCCUGAUCCAGCCAUACCGCGUGGGUGAAGAAGGCCUUCGGGUUGUAAAGCCCUUUUGUUGGGGAAGAAAAGCAGCAGGUUAAUACCCCGCUGUUCUGACGGUACCCAAAGAAUAAGCACCGGCUAACUUCGUG